rnacentral:SRP_RNA from 1 species
GCCGGGCACGGUGGUGCGUACCUGUAGUCCCAGCUACUCGGGAGGCUGAGGUGGGAGGAUCACUUGAGCCCAGGAGUUCUGGGCUGUAGCGCGCUAUGCCGAUCGGGUGUCCGCACUAAGUUCGGCAUCAAUAUGGUGACCUCCCGGGAGUGGGAGACCACCAGGUUGCCUAAGGAGGGAUGAACCGGCCCAGGUCGGAAAUGGAGCAGGUCAAAACCCCCAUGCUGAUCAGUAAUGGGAUCAUGCCUGUGAAUAGCCACUGCACUCUAGCCUGGACAACAUAGCGAGACCCCAUCUCU